GGGUUGUAAACUGCUUUUUAAGGUGAAUAAAGAGGGGCACGUGUGCCCUGUUGCAUGUAGCCUUAGAAUAAGGACCGGCUAAUUCCGUGCCAGCAGCCGCGGUAAUACGGAAGGUCCAGGUGUUAUCCGGAUUUAUUGGGUUUAAAGGGAGCGUAGGCCGCAGGUUAAGUGUGUUGUGAAAAGCAGUCGCCCAACGUCUGCCUUGCAGCGCAAACUGUCCUGCUUGAGUGCGCACAACGCAGGCGGAAUUCGUCGUGUAGCGGUGAAAUGCUUAGAUAUGACGAAGAACUCCGAUUGCGAAGGCAGCUUGCGGGAGCGCAACUGACGCUGAAGCUCGAAGGUGCGGGUAUCGAACAGGAUUAGAUACCCUGGUAGUCCGCACGGUAAA
rnacentral:rRNA from 1 species